UUUGAUGAAAUGAAGCUAUUCUGAUGCUGAAUCGAAAUCAGGUGAUUGCGGAAGUAGCAGAAGCGUCGAUUGAAGAUUAUGAGACUGGCAUGCAAGGUUGCAAUGAAGCUGCAAAGAUAUGGAUGCAGGCUUGAAGGUUCUUCUAAUAGGGGUCUUUACCUCGAGGUACUUUACUCCGUUGAUUAUGAUUCAUUAACAUCGCCAGUCUGUGAAAUUAAAGAUGGUGAUAUUGAAAUGGAUUACCCAGCCACGUGGACAAAGCUUACGUGGCAGAAUAGACGAGUUGGAUAGUGAGGUGGACGAUUUAACUGCUGACAUGGAGGUUAACUAUCCGUUAGCCGUUUUUUCAAAAUAACGGUCAAAACAGGAGUACAUUUGUAAAAGUGAAAAA